rnacentral:rRNA from 1 species
AGCAGUAGCCGCGGUAAUACGUAGGGUGCGAGCGUUAAUCGGAAUUACUGGGCGUAAAGCGUGCGCAGGCGGUUAUAUAAGACAGAUGUGAAAUCCCCGGGCUCAACCUGGGACCUGCAUUUGUGACUGUAUAGCUAGAGUACGGUAGAGGGGGAUGGAAUUCCGCGUGUAGCAGUGAAAUGCGUAGAUAUGCGGAGGAACACCGAUGGCGAAGGCAAUCCCCUGGACCUGUACUGACGCUCAUGCACGAAAGCGUGGGGAGCAAACAGGAUUAGAUACCCCCGUAGUCCCUGUCUCUUAUAC